CUGUUACUCCCUCCGUUCUGAAUUACUUGUCUUAGAUUUGUCUAGAUACGAAUAAGUCUAGAUACAUCUGUAUCUAGACAAAUCCAAGACAAGUAAUUUAGAACGGAGGGAGUACUUC
rfam:Triticum aestivum genome assembly, contig: Triticum_aestivum_CS42_TGACv1_scaffold_145946_2BS